rnacentral:rRNA from 1 species
AUGGAGGCCACUGCGCUGAGCCUUGGCAAGUCUGUGCUCAAUGGAGCUCUUAGCUACGCCAAAUCAGCGCUGGCGGAGGAGGUGGCUCUGCAGCUUGGAGUCUGCCGUGAUCAACUCUUCAUCACCAAUGAGCUGGAGAUGAUGCAAGCUUUCCUGAUGUCUGCCCAUGACGAGGGAGACAGCAACAUGGUGGUUAAGGUAUGGGUGAAGCAAGUCCGCGAUGUCGCUUACGACGUCGAGGACUCCCUCCAGGAGUUUGCUGUGCGCCUGGAGAAGCAAUCUUGGUGGCGCAUUCAUCGCACACUUCUCGAUCGGCGCCGUGUGGCAAAGCAGAUGAAGGAGCUCAGAGCCACUGUUGAGGAUGUUAGCCAGAGGAACAUGCGCUACAACCUCAUCAAGGGCCCUGGCUCCCGGCCUCCAACCACCGAUGGACAGUUUGCAGUUGCUAGUACAGCUAUGUCUGGCAUCGACGAAGCAAGGCGGCAGCGGGACAGAGCAAAAUUUGAUCUCAUUCGCUUGAUGUACAAGAUGGAGAUUGACCUUAGGGUGAUCUCCGUGUGGGGGAAAUGUAUUGGUGAUCUCCGAGAGACAUCCAUCAUCAGAAGGGCUUAUGAAGAUCCAGAGGUACAUAAGAAGUUCAAAUGCCGAGCCUGGGUUGCUGGGUUGAUGCGACCCUUCAAUUCAACUGAGUUCUUGAAAGGCGUGCUUGAGCAGUUCUACGUUAAUUUUCUUCAAGAGGUGGGGAUAGAAGAAAAAGCAGCUCUUGGAGCCCAAGUUCUGAAGAUCAUGGGGACGAUUGAUGAAGGUGAUUUUGCUCAUGAGGUCAAGAAAUAUCUGAAUGAAAGGAGUUACUUGAUUGUGCUGAAUGAUCAAAUUGGAGUUGCAAGCUUAUGCAUAGGGGCAGAGAAUGGAGCACCAGAGCAUAAGCAAUUGUUUGCUGACCAUACUCUUCAUGUUUUCUACAAGAAGGGUUCACAAGUUGGAAUGGAUUUAAUGGAGGCGGGGUCUAGCUCAAAUGUGGACACCAACAGCAGUGACAACUCUACCAGUAAGAAGAUGCUCAAUCGCACAGAGACGAUGCUAGUAGCUUUUAAGGAAUCUCAGCUCAUCGGGCGAGAGAAUGAAAAAUCAGAUAUUCUCAAGCUAAUUGCAAAUGAAGAUAGCCGGCGAUGUGAGGUGAUCUGCCUAUGGGGAAUGGGCGGUGUUGGAAAAACCACAAUAAUCAAAGAUGUCUACCAAUGCCAAGAACUCAUUGGCAAUUUUGAGAAGCGUGCUUGUGUCACAAUUAUGCGUCCUUUCAAUCCUCAAGAGCUCCUAAAAAACUUAGCUAAGCAGUUGGAAUGCAAGGAUGUGGAAGAUUUGGUCAAACAAUUAGAAAUGAAGAAAUACUUGAUUGUCCUUGAUGAUCUAUUAGCCACCACAGAAUGGGACGCCAUAAUACCAUAUCUUCCUCCAACAGAAACAUCCAGCCGAAUCAUAGUCACCACAAGGAUAAAGGAUAUUGCUAAGCACUGUUCCAAGAAUUCUGAAUAUGAGAAAAUAUACGAGCUCAAAAGUCUGGGACAGAACAGCGCACGUGACCUCUUCAUUGAAAAGGUAUUUGAUAGGACUACGAAUUUGAAUGAGCAGUAUCCCGAGUUAGUUGAACAGGCAAACCUGAUCCUAAAGAAAUGCAAGGGACUUCCUCUUGCAAUAGUCACCAUUGGGGGCUUUCUGGCAAACCAACCAAAAACUGCUGUAGAAUGGAGGAAAUUGAAUGAGUAUAUCAGUGUCGAGUUGGAGAUGAAUCCAGAGCUUGGGACCAUAAGAACUAUCCUUAUGAGAAGCUAUGAUGGCUUACCUUAUCAUCUCAAGUCUUGUUUCCUGUAUUUGCCCAUCUUUCCCGAAGACUACAGGAUUGGACGAGGGCGCUUGGCACGUCGGUGGAGUGCAGAGGGUUACUCAAGGGCGGUGCACGGCAGGUCUGCAGAGGAAAUAGGGGUCUACUUCAUGGAGCUUAUAAGAAGGAGUAUGAUCCUACCAUAUCAACAAUCAAUUCAUAGUGCAAAAGGAUUUAAUUCAUGCCAAGUCCAUGACCUCAUGCGUGAAAUCGGCAUGUCAAAGUCAAUGGAAGAAAAUCUUGUUUUUACACUAGAGCAAGGCUGCAGCGUAAACACCCAGGGCAUAGCACGACACCUUGCUAUAAACGGCAAUUGGGAAGGAGAUAAGACUGAGUUUGAGAGCAUAGUGGACAUGUCCCGUGUAAGAUCAGUAACAGUUUUUGGUGAGUGGAAGUCAUUUUUCAUUUGUGAUAAGGUGAGUCUUCUGCGAGUGCUGGACCUCGAAGACACCACAGGUCUUUCUGAUCAUCACCUUAAGCAUAUCGGGAGGCUUCUUCACCUAACAUACAUUUCUCUUAAAGGAUGCGAGAAUAUUUUUGACCUUCCAGAUUCGGUGGGUGACCUGAGAAAACUUGAGACACUAGACAUCAGAGAUACACACAUAUUUAUGCUGCCAAACACCAUCAUCAAGCUUCGGAAGCUACAAUAUCUUCGUGUUGGUAGAAACUCGUAUGAUGAGGAUGUCUCAUAUGAGGAAGAACUGUUAAAAGCAAUUCCAGAAAAAAUGAGGAACAGGCUAUGCCUCUUGCCUCAGUGCUUGCUGUUUUCUUAUUUAUUAUCUAAAUAUCGUGAUGACUUGAAAAUCCAUGAUAGAUGCACUAUGAUGUGCUGUUCUAUACUCCCUGCUUUUGCAAUGUGCCUGGACUUGUAUGGUGUUCUAGUGCCUAGAAGGAUGAGGAAGCUUAAAGCCCUGCGCACACUGGGUGUUGUGAACAUUGGGCGACGAGGAAAGGAUGUUCUACUGGACAUAAAAGGACUCGCCCAGCUGCGCAAGUUGGGAGUGACUGGCGUCAACAAGGGAAAUGGCAAAGAGUUAUGUUCAGCAAUUGUUGUUUUGAGCCACCUGGAGUCAUUGUUAAUCCGGUCAGAGGGGAAGCCAGGUUUAUGUGAGUGCUUGGAGGGAAAGUUCUCGUUUCCAGAGACACUGCAGAGCCUCAAGUUGUAUGGCAACCUGGUCAAACUGCCGGAAUGGAUCCAGGGGCUCAAGAAUCUGGUGAAGCUGAAGGUGCGGAGUUCCAUGAUACUAGAGCACGAUGAUGCCAUACAAGUCCUUGGGUACCUAACAAAUCUGGCAUUCCUGCAUCUGUUGAAGAAGUCACUCGAGGGUGAAGAGGUCCAUCUCAAUUUCCAGCAGGGGAUGUUGGGGAGCCUGGUGGUGCUGGAGCUGAGCAUGGGACUUGGAUCAAGCCUCAGGUCUGUCAAGUUUGAACAAGGAACAACCCCGAAGCUUGAGUCGUGCAGCAUUCAUGAGACCUUCAAAUCUGUGAAUUUUAAAUGUGAGACCGUCGGGGCGCGCAUCGGCCAUGCUCUUGACCGCACCCUCCGCAGCCUCCACAUCUUCAUCCCUCGCGCCAUGGAGAAACAUCAUGAAAUUGACGCGAGCAAGGCCGGAGAGGCGCUGUUUCAAGCACCGUUUAAUAGAUCAGGCGCCGGUCUGAAGAAUUCGACACCUGAUCUUAUAUAUUCAGUUAACAGGCAGCGUACAGCUUUGUCAGAGGGGAAGCCUGGUUUAUGUGGGUGCUUGGAGGGAAAGUUCUCGUUUCCAGAGACACUGCAGAGCCUCAAGCUGUACGGCAACCUCGUGGAAUUGCCGGAAUGGGUCCAGGGCCUCAAGAAUCUGGUGAAGCUGAAGCUGCGGAGCUCCAGGAUAACAGAGCACGAUACAGCCAUGCAAGUCCUUGGGAAUCUACCCAAUCUGGCGUUCCUGCAUCUGUUGAAGAAGUCACUCGAGGGUGAAGAGGCCCGUCUCAGUUUCGAGCAGGGGACGUUCUCAAGCCUGGUCGUGCUGGAGCUGAGCUUGGGACGCGAAGAAUGGCUCAAGUCCGUCAAGUUUGAACAAGGAGCAGCCCCGAAGCUUGAGGUGCUCAAGUUUGGUUUCGGUACAUACAUCGACAGUAGUUCUGUUUUGGGUCUACCAUCUCUCGCCAGCCUCAACGAAGUAGUGCUCCAGGGUUACUACAAUGACUCUGAAUUGGCAUACCUGAGGGCCGAGCUCGCUGAGAAUCCACAUCGACCCGUCGUGAAGAGGAUCUGA